UAGGGAAUCUUCCGCAAUGGGCUAAAGCCUGACGGAGCAACGCCGCGUGAGUGAUGAAGGUCUUCGGAUCGUAAAACUCUGUUAUUAGGGAAGAACAAAUGUGUAAGUAACUAUGCACGUCUUGACGGUACCUAAUCAGAAAGCCACGGCUAACUACGUGCCAGCAGCUGCGGUAAUACGUAGGUGGCAAGCGUUAUCCGGAAUGUUUGGGCGUAAAGCGCGCGUAGGCGGUUUUUUAAGUCUGAUGUGAAAGCACACGGCUCAACCGAGGAGCGUCAUUGGUAACUGGAAAACUUGCUUGCAGAAGAGGAAAGUAGAAUUCCAUGUGUUGCUGUAAAAUGCUCAGAGAUAUGGAGAAACGCCAGUGACGAAGGAGACUUUCUGGUUUGUAACUGACGCUAAUGUGCGAAGGCGUGGGGAUCAAACAGG
rnacentral:rRNA from 1 species